UACAGAGGGUGCAAGCGUUAAUCGGAAUUACUGGGCGUAAAGCGUGCGUAGACGGUUAUGUAAGUCGGGUGUGAAAGCCCCGGGCUCAACCUGGGAAUUGCAUUCGAGACUGUGUAACUAGGGUACGGAAGAGGGAAGCGGAAUUUCAGGUGUAGCGGUGAAAUGCGUAGAUAUCUGAAGGAACACCAGUGGCGAAAAGCGGCUUCCUGGUCCAGUACCGACGUUCAGGCACGAAAAGCGUGGGGAGCAAACAGG
rnacentral:rRNA from 1 species